rnacentral:rRNA from 1 species
GUAAAUGUGGAGCCGUAGCGAAAGCGAGUCUGAAUAGGGCGUUUAGUAUUUGGUCGUAGACCCGAAACCAGGUGAUCUACCCUUGGUCAGGUUGAAGUUCAGGUAACACUGAAUGGAGGACCGAACCGACUUACGUUGAAAAGUGAGCGGAUGAACUGAGGGUAGCGGAGAAAUUCCAAUCGAACCUGGAGAUAGCUGGUUCUCUCCGAAAUAGCUUUAGGGCUAGCCUCAAGUGAUGAUUAUUGGAGGUAGAGCACUGUUUGGACGAGGGGCCCCUCUCGGGUUACCGAAUUCAGACAAACUCCGAAUGCCAAUUAAUUUAACUUGGGAGUCAGAACAUGGGUGAUAAGGUCCGUGUUCGAAAGGGAAACAGCCCAGACCACCAGCUAAGGUCCCAAAAUAUAUGUUAAGUGGAAAAGGAUGUGGCGUUGCCCAGACAACUAGGAUGUUGGCUUAGAAGCAGCCAUCAUUUAAAGAGUGCGUAAUAGCUCACUAGUCGAGUGACACUGCGCCGAAAAUGUACCGGGGCUAAACAUAUUACCGAAGCUGUGGAUUGUCCUUUGGACAAU